AUUGAACGCUGGCGGCAGGCCUAACACAUGCAAGUCGAGCGGAUCGGCGGACGGGUGAGUAAUGCCUAGGAAUCUGCCUGUUCGUGAGGGAUGACGUCCGGAACCGGGCGCUAAUACCGCAUACUAUCAGAUGAGCCUAGGUCGGAGUAGCUAGUUGGUGGGGUAGAGGCCUACCAAGGCGACGAUCCGUAACUGGUCUGAGAGGAUGAUCAGUCACACUGGAACUGAGACACGGUCCAGACUCCUACGGGAGGCAGCAGUGGGGAAUAUUGGACAAUGGGCGAAAGCCUGAUCCAGCCAUGCCGCGUGUGUGAAGAAGGUCUUCGGAUUGUAAAGCACUUUAAGUUGGGAGGCGUUACCAACAGAAUAAGCACCGGCUAACUCCGUGCCAGCCGCCGCGGUAAUUC
rnacentral:rRNA from 1 species